UUGCACGCUGGCGGCAUGCCUUACACCUGCAAGUCGCACGGUAACAGGUUAAGCUGACGAGUGGCGAACGGGUGAGUAAUGUAUCGGAACGUGCCCAGUCGUGGGGGAUAACUGCUCGAAAGAGCAGCUAAUACCGCAUACGACCUGAGGGUGAAAGCGGGGGAUCGCAAGACCUCGCGCGAUUGGAGCGGCCGAUAUCAGAUUAGGUAGUUGGUGAGGUAAAGGCUCACCAAGCCGACGAUCUGUAGCUGGUCUGAGAGGACGACCAGCCACACUGGGACUGAGACACGGCCCAGACUCCUACGGGAGGCAGCAGUGGGGAAUUUUGGACAAUGGGCGCAAGCCUGAUCCAGCCAUGCCGCGUGCGGGAAGAAGGCCUUCGGGUUGUAAACCGCUUUUGUCAGGGAAGAAAAGGUUCUGGCUAAUACCUGGGACUCAUGACGGUACCUGAAGAAUAAGCACCGGCUAACUACGUG
rnacentral:rRNA from 1 species